GGGCCAAUAACCAAAGUGCCUGUGAGUUUUAUUUUGUAACUAGGAUUUGAUUUCUCUCAAUCGAUUAAUGACUUAUGAACAGCGGUAUACUUCUGUUGCCUUUAUUAAGCAAUUUACUUAUUGUUAAACCGUUCAUUUAGAUAUUUCUUGAAGGAAUUUUCUAAAGAUGGCAUUUUGCAUUUUGUAAGGACAAAGCUAUAAUGAGCCGAUCUAAACAUAUUUAACUAUGAUAGUUCUUUCUUUUAAGUAAGAUUAACUUCAUCA
rnacentral:lncRNA from 1 species